rnacentral:lncRNA from 1 species
AAUCUCUUCAUUCAUUCUCUAUAAAUACAUUAGAACCCCACUUGUCAGCCCCUUGUCUCCCUCUCUCUCUUUUUCUUAAUCUCUUUCUCUCUCUUUUCUUUUCUCUUGGUCUCUUUCCUUCCUCUCACACGGGCUGAGGCAAGCGGAGGGGGGAGGCAGCCGGAGCGACGCCGGCGCCGGGGCGAGGAGGCAACACGGCGCCAAUGUCGGCGCCCUCGACGACCCAGCGACGACCACGUCCGGGGCGGCGUGG